rnacentral:rRNA from 1 species
UACGUAGGGUGCAAGCGUUGUCCGGAAUUAUUGGGCGUAAAGAGCUCGUAGGCGGUUUGUCGCGUCUGUCGUGAAAGCCCACGGCUUAACCGUGGGUCUGCGGUGGAUACGGGCAGACUAGAGGCAGGUAGGGGAGAAUGGAAUUCCCGGUGUAGCGGUGAAAUGCGCAGAUAUCGGGAGGAACACCGGUGGCGAAGGCGGGUCUCUGGGCCGAUACUGACGCUGAGGAGCGAAAGCGUGGGGAGCGAACAGG